UGCAAGUAGACGCACAGUUUAUACCGUAGCUUGCUACACCAUAAACUGUGAGUUGCGAACGGGUGAGUAACGCGUAGGUAACCUGCCUGGUAGCGGGGGAUAACUAUUGGAAACGAUAGCUAAUACCGCAUAAUAUUGAUUAUUGCAUGAUAAUUGAUUGAAAGAUGCUAUUGCAUCACUACCAGAUGGACCUGCGUUGUAUUAGCUAGUAGGUGAGGUAACGGCUCACCUAGGCGACGAUACAUAGCCGACCUGAGAGGGUGAUCGGCCACACUGGGACUGAGACACGGCCCAGACUCCUACGGGAGGCAGCAGUAGGGAAUCUUCGGCAAUGGACGAAAGUCUGACCGAGCAACGCCGCGUGAGUGAAGAAGGUUUUCGGAUCGUAAAGCUCUGUUGUAAGAGAAGAACGGGUGUGAGAGUGGAAAGUUCACACUGUGACGGUAUCUUACCAGAAAGGGACGGCUAACUACGUGCCAGCAGCCGCGGUAAU
rnacentral:rRNA from 1 species